rnacentral:rRNA from 1 species
AAUAGCGUAUAUUAAAGUUGUUGCAGUUAAAAAGCUCGUAGUUGGAUUUCGGGGCAGCCUGGCUGGUCCGCCGCAAGGCGAGUACUGGUCAGCCGCCCUUCCUCUCGAAAGCCCCGACUGCUCUUUAUUGCAGUGGUCGGGUAGUUCGGGACGUUUACUUUGAAAAAAUUAGAGUGUUCAAGGCAGGCCUACGCCUGAAUACAUUAGCAUGGAAUAAUGGAAGAGGACCUCGGUCCUAUUUUGUUGGUUUCCAGGACCGAAGUAAUGAUUAAGAGGGACAGUUGGGGGCAUUCGUAUUUAAUUGUCAGAGGUGAAAUUCUCGGAUUUAUGAAAGACGAACAACUGCGAAAGCAUUUGCCAAGGAUGUUUUCAUUAA